rnacentral:lncRNA from 1 species
AUCAGUUACCCAAUAAUCCAUUCUUCGCUUCCGCUCUUCCUCUGCUGCCGACAUGGCCUCUCCCCGCUCCUCCCACUCUGGCGACGUCAAUCCCUUCGCCAUCCUCGAGCCCGCCUCCGCCGCCAGCAUCCGCCUCAUCCACAUACAGGAUCAUGUUCCCAUUGUGCUCGAUCUCCACACCCCCUCCUUCUCCACCUGGCGCACUUACUUCUCCUUGACGUUCCGCGAAUUCCAGAUUCGGGAUCAUGUUGAUGGCUCGGUUGAUGCUCGCACUAUGCACGAUGACGCCAACUGGAUGGGCGUCGAUGCCACCAUCAUCAAGUGGCUAUACCGCACCAUCAGCACCGAGAUUCUCUCCCACGUCAUCCGCGACGACGACUCGGCGCUUGGCGUCUGGACGUCCAUCUGCCAGCUCUUCCUCGACAACCAGCUCCAGCGCCAAGUGCUCCUCACCACGGAGUUCUACAGCCUCUCCCAGGAGGGGAUGGGGCUCUUCGACUACUGCCUUCGCCUCAAGGUGCUCGCCGACGAGCUCCGCGACGUCGGUGCCCCGGUCUCCGACGCCACCAUGCUCACGAACCUUAUUCGUGGGCUCGGUUCGGACUACGCCAACGCCGCCUCCAACCUCAACCUCCUCACCGAGCCCACGUUCGCUCGCGCCGUCAACUACUUGCGCCUCGAGGAACGCCGGAUGCGCCAGUCAUCUCUGCAGCGCUCCCACGCCGCCCUCGCCGCGCGCACUACCACUCCGGCGGCGCCUCCCCCAGCGCCCCCCGUGCCGUCUCCUGCGACAGGCUCCUCGCCACAGGGCCAUGCUCGUAAGAAGAAGCGGGGCCCUGACGGCCGCCCCCGUGCCGCCGGCACCCCUCCUGUCGGGCGCCCUGCUGCACCCUCUGGCCCAGCGCCUGCACCAUGGUUCGGCAGGGUCAACCCGUGGACUGGCGUAGUCCAUGCCUGGGCGCUUCCUCCUGCACGCGCCCCGCAUCCUGGCAUUCUGGGCUCCCGUCCAGCCUCUCACCAGGCUCUGCUGGCCGCGCCUGCACCCGGCGGCUACCCGUCGCCGCCUCCCAACACAUGGCCCCCCGCGCCUCCGGCGCACUGGCUCGGCCCCUCCGGCGGUCCGUCUACCCCGCCGGAUCCCGCCUUACUGGCGGCUCUGCAGCAGGCCCCCUCGCCGGCCACCUACUCCGGCAACGGCGACUGGUUCAUGGACACCGGCGCCUCCUCCCACAUGGCGUCUCACCCCGGUAUCCUUUCCCACUCCCAACCCUUCCCCACUUCGACUCGCAUCGUUGUCGGUGAUGGCUCCUCUGUUCCCAUCACCCACCGCGGUGCUCUUUCCCUCUCCUCUGAUUCUCCUAUUAAGCUUUAUGACGUACUUGUCUCCCCUCAUCUCGUUACUAAUCUCGUUUCCGUUCGUGCUCUUACUCGUCAGAAUUCCGUCUCUGUUGAAUUUGAUCCCUUUGGUUUCUCUGUUAAGGACCUGCUGACCAAGACGGUGCUCCUCCGCUGUGAUAGCCCCGGCGAUCUCUACCCUCUUCGGCCGUCGCUCCCCACCCGCGCUCCCGUCGCCCUGCUCGCCGGUGUCGACCUCUGGCAUGCUCGCCUAGGGCACCCCGGCGUCUCCACCAUGCAACACCUUCUUCGUAGCAGCUCUUUUCUCUGUAAUAAAAGUGCGCCUCACUCUUGUUCUGCUUGUCGCUUGGGCAAGAGCACCCGUCUCCCUUUUUCUUCUUCUACUCAUGUCUCUAGUUUUCCCUUUGAGUUGUUGCACUGUGAUGUAUGGACCUCCCCAAUUAUAAGCAAUUCUGGUUUCCAAUACUACCUGGUUCUUCUUGACGAUUUUUCGCAUUACGUCUGGACUUUCCCUCUACGUAAUAAAUCAGAUGUGCUCUCUACGCUCAUUUCCUUCUUCGCGUUCGUACACAAUUUUCUCGCCCCAUACUCGGCCUUCAAACCGACAACGGACGCGAAUUCGACAACCAUGGCGUUCACUCCUUGCUCUCCACGCACGGCGCCAUCCUCCGCCUCACCUGCCCGUAUACGUCCCAGCAAAACGGGCGUGCCGAGCGUGUUCUCCGCACUCUCAACGACGCCGUUCGUGCAUUGCUCCUGCACGCCGCCGUCCCUCUUCGCCACUGGCCCGAAGCGCUCGCGACCGCCACCCACACCCUCAACAUCCGUCCUUGCCGCGCUCGCGGCAACUUCACUCCUCAUCACCUCUUCUUCGGCCACCCUCCCUCCUACGACAAUCUUCGGGUCUUCGGGUGCCUCUGCUACCCCAACCUCCUCGCCACCUCUCCACACAAACUCGCUCCCCGGUCCGUUUCCUGCGUCUUCUUCGGUUACCCUCCAAACACCAAGGGGUUCCGUUGCUUCGACCCAGCCUCUGGGCGCGUUCUCAUCUCCCGGCAUGUUUUCUUUGACGAAUCAGUUUUCCCGUUUCAGCAGGUUCUCGGCUCCUCACCAGCACCCGCGCCCCCGCCGGCCGCUCCACGGCGCGCUCCGGUGCUCCUCCUACCUGCACCACCAACCGCCCCGCGCGGCGGCCCUCGACGUCCAGCCGCGCCGUCGUCACCACCCGCAGGGGCGGCCGCCCCCGCCUCGACGUCGCCUGCCCCCGCCUCCUUCCCAACGGCGGCGGCAGCCUCUUCGCCGGCCUCCACCAGUUGCGCGGCCCCAUCUUCUUCGCCCCCGGGGUCGUCUACAUCUCCAUCCACCCUGGUUCCUGCGGCUCGACCCGGGGUAGACGCCCCCAGCGGUGGCGCGUCCCCGUCUUCUUCGCCACCCGGCUCGUCCCCCUCCGCGCGCCCAGCGGGGACCUCUGCGGCGCGCCCCGGGGUCCUUACCCGCGCCCGCGCUGGCGUUCGACGUCCUAGUCAGCGGUACCCCUCCGACGAGUACGUCUGCGUCGCCACCACCGCCUCUCCUUCACCGCUUCCUACGUCUAUCCACUCGGCGCUCCGGGAUCCCAACUGGCGCGCCGCCAUGCAGGCCGAGUUCGACGCACUACUUCUCAACCGCACCUGGCAGCUCGUCCCUCGACCACCCCGCGCCCAUAUCAUCAGCGGGAAGUGGGUGUUUUGGCACAAGCUCCGCCCCGACGGUUCUCUGGAACGCUACAAGGCCCGCUGGGUCGUCCGUGGCUUUCGACAACGCGCGGGGCUCGACUUCACCGACACCUUUGCCUCCGUUGUGAAGCCCGGCACGAUUCGUUGCGUCCUUCAGCUCGCCGUCUCGCGCCGCUGGGCUGUUCACCAGCUUGAUGUCACCAAUGCAUUCCUGCAUGGGCACCUGGUCGGCGUCGGCUUCGUCAUCACUCGGUCCGAUGCCUCCCUGUUCGUCUAUCGCCGCGGCGCUGCCACAGCCUACCUCCUCCUGUACGUCGAUGACAUCGUCCUGACCGCCUCUACCGACGCCCUUCUUCGUCACAUCGUCGGGCUCCUUCAACACGAGUUCGCCUUGAAGGACCUCGGGCCGCUCCACUACUUCCUGGGCGUGGAAGUCGCACGCCGUCCCGAUGGCUUCUUUCUCUGCCAGAGGAAGUACGCCCUCGAGCUACUGGACCGAGCCGGCAUGUCCGACUGCAAGCCUGCGUCCACGCCCAUCGACACCACCGGCAAGGUUUCGGGGCAGGCUGGCAUGCCUUUCUCCGAUGCCUCCUUCUACCGCAGCAUUGUCGGCGCCCUUCAGUACCUGACGCUCACUCGCCCUGAUCUUCAAUACGCCGUGCAGCAGGUCUGUCUCCAUAUGCAUGCCCCGCGCGACGUGCACUGGACCUUGGUCAAGCGGAUCCUGCGGUAUGUCCGCGGCUCCCCCUCUCUCGGCCUCACAUUAUCAGCCUCCUCGUCACUCGACAUCGUGGCCUACUCUGACGCUGACUGGGCUGGCUGCCCGGACACCCGCCGCUCUACUUCCGGCUACUGCGUCUACCUGGGGCCUUCGCUGGUGUCGUGGUCGUCUAAACGACAACCCACGGUGUCCCGCUCCAGUGCGGAGGCCGAGUACCGUGCCGUCGCCAACGCCGUCGCCGAGUGCUCCUGGCUACGUCAACUCCUCACUGAGCUCCACUGCGGCAUCGCCAAGGCGACGGUGGUCUACUGCGACAAUGUUUCGGCGGUCUAUCUCUCCGCCAACCCUGUUCAUCAUCGUCGUACCAAGCACAUUGAGCUCGACAUCCACUUCGUCCGAGAGAAGGUGGCGCUUGGGCACGUUCGGGUUCUUCAUGUUCCUACGGCUCAGCAGUUCGCCGACGUCAUGACCAAGGGGCUCCCGUCAACGGUAUUUCGGGAGUUUCGCUCCAGCCUCUGCAUCUCCGACGGCGACGCAUCGACUGCGGGGGGUGUUGAAACAGACUACGUACAUGGGGCAUGCAGCCGGUCCCUCCCUGUGCAUGCAGCCGGUUCCUCCUCUGCAUGGAUGGACCAGGCUACGUAUGGGGUGCAUGCAGCCGGUCCCUCAUCUGCAUGCAGCCGGUUUCUCCUGGCUUGGCGGGUACGAUGCCCCGGACUGCGUCUCUCUCCAGCCCGCCGGCAUCAUCGCAUGCAGCUCUCUCCCCACGACCGGCUCUACCGCAUGCAGUUGCGCAGCGCCCACGCUCCUUCAGUUACGCAUUCCGCACUCUAUCCUCUCCACGAUAGCCUGCCUCUCAGGCGUUCUGUUAAGCCUCUCUCUCUCACUCUAUAAGAUCUACCCAUGUAUAUAUAUGCUACUAUUAUCCAAAAGCCUCUCUCUCUCAUUCUCACAUGGUAUCAGUUACCCAAUAAUCCAUUCUUCGCUUCCGCUCUUCCUCUGCUGCCGACAUGGCCUCUCCCCGCUCCUCCCACUCUGGCGACGUCAAUCCCUUCGCCAUCCUCGAGCCCGCCUCCGCCGCCAGCAUCCGCCUCAUCCACAUACAGGAUCAUGUUCCCAUUGUGCUCGAUCUCCACACCCCCUCCUUCUCCACCUGGCGCACUUACUUCUCCUUGACGUUCCGCGAAUUCCAGAUUCGGGAUCAUGUUGAUGGCUCGGUUGAUGCUCGCACUAUGCACGAUGACGCCAACUGGAUGGGCGUCGAUGCCACCAUCAUCAAGUGGCUAUACCGCACCAUCAGCACCGAGAUUCUCUCCCACGUCAUCCGCGACGACGACUCGGCGCUUGGCGUCUGGACGUCCAUCUGCCAGCUCUUCCUCGACAACCAGCUCCAGCGCCAAGUGCUCCUCACCACGGAGUUCUACAGCCUCUCCCAGGAGGGGAUGGGGCUCUUCGACUACUGCCUUCGCCUCAAGGUGCUCGCCG